rnacentral:lncRNA from 1 species
UCAAGAACUUCAAGGCAUACUCCAAGGCUUUUAUCCUUCAUUUAGUAAGUACCAUCAUCUUUCUUAUGAUUAUUACACAUCCUCCUACUCAAAAUCAUAGAUUGCUUACACAAACAUCAUCACAUUCUUGUUAGAUCUUUGAAUCUUCAAGUGAUUCUUCAAGUGUUCUUGAGUUGGACACUUCUCUUCUUCAACACUCAUCUACUGAAAUCACCUAAGGUGAGUUCAUACCCCUACAUUUUCAUGUUUUCUCAAGUUUUUAGCGGGGGAAUACAAGUUAAAACACCAAGAACAUAACUAAAAUUUUCUAACAGCUUUCAUCAGAAAAGUUGGACUCCAUUCACGGACUGUUUUGGACAAAUUAAACAUUUUAGUUUUCAAAACUGUCUUAGGUGCAAGUAGUUCCAGUUCUUAGCUUU